GCGGAUAUAGCUCAGCUGGUAGAGCAUUAGCUUCCCAAGCUAAGGGUCGCGAGUUCGAAUCUCGUUGUCCGCUCCA
rnacentral:tRNA from 1 species